GAUGAACGCUGGCGGCGUGCCUAAUACAUGCCAGUCGAGCGAACAGAUGAGGAGCUUGCUCCUCUGACGUUAGCGGCGGACGGGUGAGUAACACGUGGAUAACCUACCUAUAAGACUGGGAUAACUUCGGGAGACCGGAGCUAAUACCGGAUAAUAUAUUGAACCGCAUGGUUCAAUAGUGAAAGACGGUUUUGCUGUCACUUAUAGAUGGAUCCGCGCCGCAUUAGCUAGUUGGUAAGGUAACGGCUUACCAAGGCAACGAUGCGUAGCCGACCUGAGAGGGUGAUCGGCCACACUGGAACUGAGACACGGUCCAGACUCCUACGGGAGGCAGCAGUAGGGAAUCUUCCGCAAUGGGCGAAAGCCUGACGGAGCAACGCCGCGUGAGUGAUGAAGGUCUUCGGAUCGUAAAACUCUGUUAUUAGGGAAGAACAAAUGUGUAAGUAACUAUGCACGUCUUGACGGUACCUAAUCAGAAAGCCACGGCUAACUACGUG
rnacentral:rRNA from 1 species